GUGCAAUGGAUUUAAGCUUCAUAUAUAAAGUAUUUUACUUUUAUUAGAA
rnacentral:tRNA from 2 species